GCCAGCAUGACCCAGUGGUUUGAGUGUUGGACUACAACUCUGGAGACCAGGGUUUGAUUCCCAGCUCGGCCA